rnacentral:sRNA from 1 species
GGAGAUCUCCCCUUCUUUGUGAAUCACUCAGCCCUUCACCCUGGGGUGAGGCUGUAAGGUAGCUGGUGGUCUCCAGAGGUAACAGGACCCAGGCCCAUGCAGUGAAGGGCAGGAGUGGAGUUGAGCAGGGGAGACAGGGAGGCCAGGGUCUGGCUGGAGCAGGCCCAUGGAUCCUCACUCCCGGCCUGCCUGCUAGGCCGGACAGGGGAUAGGCAGGAAGGCAGGAUGCCCACGGCCGAGUCCAUGCUGCCUUCCUUCUCCCCUCCUUCGCCCAGGGUCCUGCAUCCUCAAGCCCCCUCUGUGGCUGCCCUGCACCCCUGCCUGACCCCCGGAUGCCAUGCACCUGCCCCUGCACUGGCUCCCUGCUUGGCACUGCCAGCCACCCUGCUCUGCUUACAGUGGCCCAUUGACCUCCUGCCCCCAACCCCCGCUUGCUGAGACCCUCCCCAUGCCAGGCCAAUUUCUUCCUUCCCUGUGCCCACCUGGGACUCCUAAGAGGUGCUCACCAGAGGGUUGAGAGGAUGUAACACCCACUCGGGGCAGGCUCUGCCCCGGGAAACCAUUACCUGCUUACUCCUGUCUCUUCCUGCCCUUCUGUUGCUCCAGUCUUGGAGGGGGCAGGGGACCGACACUCACAUCUGUCAGGCCUGGAGUUACUGCUCUGCCCCCACGCCCUGGUCGACACUGUGCCUGCCCCACCCUCAGCCCUGCACAGAGACACACAUGCCCACACGCACACACAUGUGCACACACAUUGCCCCAUCGCACAAGAAACCUGCAGAGGACCCCCACUGGGGGCAUCGAGGCUCAGCCCUCAGGGCCCAGGGCAUCUGACUCUGGCCCCCCAGGAGGGGGGCUCUUUGGACUUUGGGACACCCACCGAGGAGACCCUAAGCCAAGAAGGAGAAGAAAGAGCCUGAAGACCUUCAGUCUGACCCCUGCCACCUUCCGGGGCAUUUGGGCACUGUAGGAAAAGAGGCCAGCUCUGCAGCCCCCUCGGGGACGCCCCCACCAGCUCAAAUUCCGAGUGCAGAAAAGAAACCGGACCCCCCAGUGAGGCCUGCCAGGCCUCCCGGACCCCUUGUUACUCAGGAACCUCACCUUGGACGGAAUGGAAUGGGGGCUUCGGUGCCCACCAACCCCCCACCUCCACUCUGCCAUUCCGGCCCACCUCCCUCUGGCCGGACAGAACUGGUGCUCUCUUCUCCCCACUGUGCCCAUCCGCGGACCGGGGACCCUUCCCCGUGCCCUACCCUCUCCCAUUUUGAUGGUGUCUGUGACAUUUCCUGUUGUGAAGUAAAAGAGGGACCCCUGCGUCCUGCUCCUUUCUCUUGCA